rnacentral:rRNA from 1 species
AUUGAACGCUGGCGGCAGGCUUAACACAUGCAAGUCGAGCGGAGAUGAGGUGCUUGCACCUUAUCUUAGCGGCGGACGGGUGAGUAAUGCUUAGGAAUCUGCCUAUUAGUGGGGGACAACAUUCCGAAAGGAAUGCUAAUACCGCAUACGUCCUCCGGGAGAAAGCAGGGGAUCUUCGGACCUUGCGCUAAUAGAUGAGCCUAAGUCGGAUCAGCUAGUUGGUGGGGUAAAGGCCUACCAAGGCGACGAUCUGUAGCGGGUCUGAGAGGAUGAUCCGCACACUGGGACCGAGACACGGCCCAGACUCCUACGGGAGGCAGCAGUGGGGGAUAUUGGACAAUGGGGGAAACCCUGAUCCAGCCAUGCCGGGGGUGUGAAGAAGGCUUUAUGGUUGUAAAGCACUUUAAGCGAGGAGGGGACUACUGAGACUAUUACUCUUGGAUAGUGGACGUUACUCGCAGAAUAAGCACCGGCUAACUCUGUGCCAGCCGCCGCCGUAAUAC